AGAUUCCUACGGGAGGCAGCAGUAGGGAAUAUUGCACAAUGGGGGAAACCCUGAUGCAGCAAUGCCGCGUGAGUGAUGAAGGCUUUCGGGUCGUAAAGCUCUGUCGUUAGGGAAAAAGAUUUAGUAGCUAAUAUCUGCUAAGUUUGAUGGUACCUAAAAAGAAAGCACCGGCUAACUACGUGCCAGCAGCCGCGGUAAUA
rnacentral:rRNA from 1 species